rnacentral:rRNA from 1 species
GUCUUUUUGAAUAUAAUUUAAAGUCUAAUCUGCCCACUGAUAAAUAUUAAAGGGCUGCAGUAUCAUGACUGUACAAAGGUAGCAUAAUCAUUAGUUUUUUAAUUGAAAACUUGUAUGAAGGAUUUGAUGAAAUAUAAGCUGUCUCUAAUUUAUUUAUAGAAAUUUAUUUUUUAGUUAAAAAGCUAAAAUAAUUUUAAAAGACGAGAAGACCCUAUAGAGUUUUAUAUUUAUUUUUAUUAAAAAAUUAUAUAAAAAUUAAUAUUGAAAUAAAAUGAAGUAUUAUGUUGGGGUGAUAGAAAAAUUAAAUUAACUUUUUUUAAAAAUUAAACAUAAAUAUAUGAUUAAAUGAUCCAUUAAUAAUGAUUAUAAGAAAAAAUUACCUUAGG